rnacentral:rRNA from 1 species
AUUGAACGCUGGCGGCAGGCCUAACACAUGCAAGUCGAACGGUAGCACAGAGAGCUUGCUCUCGGGUGACGAGUGGCGGACGGGUGAGUAAUGUCUGGGAAACUGCCCGAUGGAGGGGGAUAACUACUGGAAACGGUAGCUAAUACCGCAUAACGUCGCAAGACCAAAGAGGGGGACCUUCGGGCCUCUUGCCAUCAGAUGUGCCCAGAUGGGAUUAGCUAGUAGGUGGGGUAACGGCUCACCUAGGCGACGAUCCCUAGCUGGUCUGAGAGGAGGACCAGCCACACUGGAACUGAGACACGGUCCAGACUCCUACGGGAGGCAGCAGUGGGGAAUAUUGCACAAUGGGCGCAAGCCUGAUGCAGCCAUGCCGCGUGUAUGAAGAAGGCCUUCGGGUUGUAAAGUACUUUCAGCGGGGAGGAAGGUGUUGUGGUUAAUAACCACAGCAAUUGACGUUACCCGCAGAAGAAGCACCGGCUAACUCCGUGCCAGCCGCCGCCGUAA